CGCUGAGGAAACUUUGCCUAGUCAGACCAGAGGAUUUAUUUCAGCUGCGUAUUGCAUGCUUUCAAACACAGAAAUGGAGAAGUGGCCUUUCUCAUGAAGAUAAAAGGAUGUUACGAUCAGUUUUUCUGUUGCUAUCAAUAUUGACACUCCAAGGUAGCGGAUGUGAUUACUUUUUGAGGGGGGUUGUCGAUAAUCUUCAAACCACCCUUAACUCAGACCACGCUGGAUUUCGUAAGGUGUUCCCUAAAGACUAUUGGAUUUCCCACCACUACAAUGUCAACCUGCUGUGCAACACUGAUCCGUGUUGUGUGUUCCGAGCUGCGACUGUUCUCUCUGACUCCUGGCUCCAGCUCCGCAGCCAGCUGUGGCCAGAGCACCAUAGCUUCGAAUUCAUCUCCAACCUUAUACAAGCCCUGGGUGGCAGGGGUAUGACAAAAGGGAGAUUUGAGGAUCCUGACCCUUCAGUUCUUCCCUCGGUCUCCUCCUCUCCAGAGAAACUUCUCAACUUCACUUCAUCUGUUUUCUCCAAAUGGCUGGAGCUGGGGUGCUCGACCCCGGUGGACACUUGUCCCUUCCCCACUCUGGCCUCUCCGGCUGGGGAGGAAGAAAGGGCAGCUCUGGAAAGUAAAAAAGUGAGGUUAUUAACCACACGAGCAGUUCACAUGGAGAAUGAAGGGGAAAUAGGGAUGCGGUUACACACACCUCCACCAACCAAUAGGAGCCCACCAUCCAAAGGUGGGCUCCUAUUAGUUAUUUCUGGGUCUUUUUUUUUUAAACCUUUAUUUAACUAGGCAAGUCUAUUAAGAACAAAUUCUUAUUUACAAUGACGGCCUACAUUGGAGCCUCCUGUUAUGUGGACUGUCUGGAUGCUACUGUAGAGCGGUUGCUAAAGUUACUG